rnacentral:lncRNA from 1 species
UAUAUACUCUAAAUUAUAUUUGACGGUGUGGAUAGUUAAUUUGAAUACCCUAAAAUAAAAAAAUAAGACUAUAGUACCGAAGUACCCUCAUUUAAGGUUUUUGCCGUUAGAUCUAUUUUUUUGAUUAUUUUCGUUCAUUAGAUUAUAUUAUUUAACCACCUGUUCACUUAACUCUAGAAAAUCACUAUUAUCCUAACAUCACAUUCAUUAAUUUAAGGACCAAAAACUAACAAGCCCCAAUGUCUUAAUACUUUUAAAAGUACAGAAGCACAAUUAU